UCCGGUUUGUCACCGGCAGUCUCAUUAGAGUGCCCAACUAAAUGUAGCAACUAAUGACAAGGGUUGCGCUCGUUGCGGGACUUAACCCAACAUCUCACGACACGAGCUGACGACAGCCAUGCAGCACCUGUGUUAUGGCUCUCUUUCGAGCACAAUCGCGUCUCUGCGAUCUUCCAUACAUGUCAAAGGUGGGUAAGGUUUUUCGCGUUGCAUCGAAUUAAUCCACAUCAUCCACCGCUUGUGCGGGUCCCCGUCAAUUCCUUUGAGUUUUAAUCUUGCGACCGUACUCCCCAGGCGGGGCACUUAAUGCGUUGGCUACGGCGCGGAAAACGUGGAAUGUCCCCCACACCUAGUGCCCAACGUUUACAGCGUGGACUAC
rnacentral:misc_RNA from 1 species